rnacentral:hammerhead_ribozyme from 1 species
AUCCAGAUGACGAGUCCUAAAUAGGACGAAGUGCCAGGCGUCCUGGAU